rnacentral:rRNA from 1 species
GAUGAACGCUGGCGGCGUGCCUAACGCAUGCAAGUCGUGCGGGUAGACCUUCGGGUCUGCCAGCGGCGAACGGGUGAGUAACACGUGGGUAACCUGCCGUCUGGUGGGGGAUAACCCUCAGAAAUGGGGGCUAAUACCGCAUGAUGAUCCUCGCUCGAUGGAGUGGGGAUUGAAAGCCUUAUGGCGCCAGGCGAGGGGCCCGCGGCCCAUCAGCUAGUUGGUGGGGUAAUGGCCCACCAAGGCUAUGACGGGUAGCUGGUCUGAGAGGACGGCCAGC